rnacentral:ncRNA from 2 species
UACCUUUGCAGCGUCUGCAGGUGGCUGUAAAAAGCCUUAAUAGGGAAUGCGGUGCAAAUCCGCAACUGUACCCGCAGCUGUGAGCUUCAACAAAAAGGUCUGACAUCAGAAGCCACUGUUCUGCCAGCAGAAUGGGAAGGCAGUCUGACCGAAGCAAGUCAGAAGACCUGCCGCAGACAGUAAAUCAAC